CAGCCGUAAACGAUGUGCGUUAGGUGUAUCGACGACCACGAGUUGUCGAGGUGCCGAAGGGAAACCGUGAAACGUACCGCCUGGGAAGUACGGUCGCAAGGCUGAAACUUAAAGGAAUUGGCGGGGGAGCACCACAACAGGUGGAGCCUGCGGUUUAAUUGGACUCAACGCCGGGAAUCUCACCGGAUAGGACAGCGGAAUGAUUGCCGGGCUGAAGACUCUGCAUGACUAGCUGAGAGGUGGUGCAUGGCCGUCAGUGACU
rnacentral:rRNA from 1 species